rnacentral:sRNA from 1 species
AGAAAAAGAAGAAGAAGUGAAAGAAGAGGGG